rnacentral:rRNA from 1 species
GAACGAGAAAGCCUUGCUUGCAAGGCGAGUAAAGUGGCGCACGGGUGAGUAACGCGUGAGUACCCGCCCCCGGGUCGGGGAUAACGUUGCGAAAGCGGCGCUAAUACCGGAUGAGACCCACGGGUGAAAGUCGGCCUCUCGAGGAAGCCGGCGCUCGGGGAGGGGCUCGCGUCCUAUCAGCUAGUUGGUGAGGUAACGGCUCACCAAGGCGACGACGGGUAGCUGGUCUGAGAGGAUGAUCAGCCACACUGGCACUGGAACACGGGCCAGACUCCUACGGGAGGCAGCAGUGAGGAAUUUUGCGCAAUGGGGGAAACCCUGACGCAGCAACGCCGCGUGGGUGAUGAAGGCCUUCGGGUCGUAAAGCCCUGUCAGGAGUGAAGAAAGGCUCGAGGUCCAAUAGGCCUCGGGUUUGACGGUAGCUCCAGAGGAAGCACCGGCUAACUCCGUGCCAGCAGCCGCGGUAAUACGGAGGGUGCGAGCGUUAUUCGGAAUUACUGGGCGUAAAGGGGGUGCAGGCGGCCGUGCAAGUCUGAUGUGAAAGCCCAGGGCUUAACCUUGGACGUGCAUUGGAAACUGCUCGGCUUGAGUACCGGAGAGGAAGGGGGAAUUCCCGGUGUAGAGGUGAAAUUCGUAGAUAUCGGGAGGAAUACCAGUGGCGAAGGCGCCCUUCUGGGCGGAUACUGACGCUGAGACCCGAAAGCGUGGGUAGCAAACAGGAUUAGAUACCCUGGUAGUCCACGC